rnacentral:rRNA from 1 species
UACAGAGGGUGCGAGCGUUUGUCCGGAAUCACUGGGCGUAAAGGGCGCGUAGGUGGUGGCUUAAGCGUGCGGUGAAAGCUCGGGGCUCAACCCCGAGUCGGCCGUGCGAACUGGGCUCACUGGAGCAUAGUAGAGGCAGGUGGAAUUCCGGGUGUAGCGGUGGAAUGCGUAGAGAUCCGGAGGAACACCGACGGCGUAGGCAGCGCCCUGGCUGUGAAUAAAGCUGACACUGAGGCACGAAAGCUGGGGAGCAAACAGG